rnacentral:miRNA from 3 species
UCUCACAUUUACAUAUUCACAG